rnacentral:rRNA from 1 species
UACAGAGGUCUCAAGCGUUGUUCGGAUUCAUUGGGCGUAAAGGGCGCGUAGGCUGCGGGGCAAGUCGGGUGUGAAAUCUCAGAGCUCAACUCUGAAACUGCACUCGAUACUGCUUUGCUCGAGGACUGGAGAGGAGAUUGGAAUUCACGGUGUAGCAGUGAAAUGCGUAGAUAUCGUGAGGAAGACCAGUGGCGAAGGCGGGUCUCUGGACAGUUCCUGACGCUGAGGCACGAAGGCCAGGGGAGCAAACGGG